GUUAUUAAUGAAAUUAAAGAAAAAUGAGCUACAAAUACAAUAACCAAACUGCACUAGCUACCACCGGGCCAGCCCAAUGUCUCGUGGCAACGACAUCGUUUUAGAGCUUCAGAAGAAGUCAGAAUUCAAACGAAGUUAACUAUGGUCUGAGCCCUAAUCGAUCCUUCCGGUCAAGAACGAGUUCUGAUUCUUCUUCUUCGUGGCCGAAUCUGUCCAGCGCCCCCAACAAAAUAUCAUCGGCCUGAGCGGCAGAUCUCUGUGCCAUCCAUCCAACAAUGGAGAAUCUCCAGAUCUCGAGAUGCGUCCUCUCCAUUCUCUUAACUCUCUUCCUCGUCUCUUCUUCCUGGACGUUCGCUAGCUCCGCCUCCCCUUUCAUCGUCGCUCACAAGAAGGCCACUCUCACCAGGCUCAAGUCCGGCGUCGAACGCGUUUCCGUCGCCGUCGACAUCUACAACCAAGGAUCUGUGACUGCAUAUGAUGUAAGCCUUACUGAUGAUAGCUGGUCCAAUGAUGUUUUUGACAUUGUGAGUGGAAACACCUCAAUGUCAUGGGAAAGGCUUGACACUGGGGCUCUUGUAUCGCAUGCUUUUGAAUUGGAAUCCAAAGUACAAGGCCUAUUUUAUGGUGCACCAGCGGUUAUCAAAUUUCGUGUCCCCACAAAGGCUGCUCUACAGGAGGCUUAUUCGACUCCAAUUUUGCCACUAGACAUCCUUGCUGAUACACCUCCAGAAAAGAAACUUGAGCUGGUAAGGGUCUCACAGCAAUAGAUCUAUCAAUCAAUUUCUUUGGCUAUUCCAUGUUUACUAAGCGUGCUCUUAUGUUUCAUGGCAUCGUUCCUUGUGGUUCAUGGUUGCCAAAUUGUCUCAGGCAAAGAGGUUAUUUGCAAAGUACGGGUCCUUGAUCUCUGUGAUCUCCAUUGUCACUUUGUUCAUAUACCUGGUUGCAACACCAUCAAAAUCCGGCGCUGCAAAAGGAAGCAAAAAGAAGCGGUAGUGACAUAGAAAGUAACCCCCCCCCCCCCUCUUCCCCCAUGACAGCUUCCCCAGUAGGUUCGCAAUUGGAUGCCUUUGUUCCCAGUAGCUUUCUUGUUUCCUUAUUUGGUCCAGGACUUUUUUUUAUGGAUUCUUCUACUAGGUUGCCGGCAGUUACAAAUGAGAUGAUAUAAGAGUUAUUUGGACAGGUUUUGCACGCCAUGAACUAAGUUUAACACCUUAAGCUGCUGUUGAAACUCCAUCUCUAGUUUUGUGAGUAGUGACAUGACAUCAGAUCAGUAACAGUAUAAACUUCAUUUA